CUGAAACUUAAUUGAACUAAUUGUCUUUGCCCACCUAUCUGCAGUGGCUGAAGAUGAUGCUUUCUUGGUCAAGCAAAUUGGCCAGAGUUUCCAGUAUUCUAAAAUAGAGGCAAGAAGGGAGGAACAAAUCCAAGCUGCUCAUGACGAAGCCAUGUUUGGUGCUUCAGCACUUCCACCUCCUACCAGUACUGACAGUGAGCAUGAAAGAGAGAAUGAGAAAGAAGUUGAUAAAAAAGUUGUUGUUACAAGCCUCUUAAGUGAAACGGAGUGCUGAAAUGGUGACCACAUGCUACUUUGAGGGCUCAAGAAUAUUUUGAUUCAUAGAGACACUAAUCUAUGUUAGAACUUUUAACUUUUGGUUGAACUUGUACAAGACAUAUAACUUGUAGAACUAAUCAAUGUA